CCAAGAUACAUUGAGGACAGCUGAUGUCAGCGGCUGGAUUACCCACACUUGUCAACUGGACAGGACCAGUUUAUAACACUUGGCCUGUCCACGUGGCUUGGGUUUUUCACAGAAUUGCUUCUGGGUGCCCAAAUCUGUCAUCUGUCAGUGAGCAUUCUGAGAGAGCUGAUAACGAACAGCAGGUUUCCUAUUAUCUAGCCUUGGGGGCCAUAGCAUAUGGCUACAAGCAAACAUAUGAUCUUGGGGACUUGGUAGAGUGCCUGCCUAGCAAGUAGGAUGGCCCGGAAUUGAAAAACAAACAACAAGCAAACAAACAACAACAAAACUUCAAACGCGUUAUCCCUGAAGGACAACCUAUCUCUGCAAGAGCCUUCCUUUAUCACGUGAUCCAUCCACUAUACUGCUGAGCACUGGCGACAAUCACUAUCAACCGGAUCUAGCAGAGUUGUCCUUGGAGAAUCUCAGCAUGAACAGUGAGCAGAGAGAGAAGCUGGCGAGGUUGACAUGAAAGGCGAGCGGUGCUCCAGGGCCUAUUAUCGAUGGCCAGAACUCAUCCUACUUUGAAA
rnacentral:lncRNA from 1 species